CCUACGGGUGGCAGCAGUGGGGAAUCUUGCACAAUGGGGGAAACCCUGAUGCAGCGACGCCGCGUGAGCGAUGAAGCCCUUCGGGGUGUAAAGCUCUUUCGACGGGAACGAUAAUGACGGUACCCGGAGAAGAAGCUGCGGCUAACUACGUGCCAGCAGCCGCGGUAA
rnacentral:rRNA from 1 species